CUGGCACAGAGUUAACUGCAUUUUAUGGUGUGCCAGCUGUGUCAUGGAGCUUCAUGAACAAGAUUUCAUCUUUGAAGAUGAGAAAAUGAAGCCUUGGAGAGUUCUGCAAUUGGUUCAAGGUCACUGCUUCUAACCACCACGUUCAACCACAGGCAGACCUGACCUAUUCUUGGAGUGAUGGCUAUGGUCUAAAAUGAGGUUUUGGUGAUGGCUGCAGAACUUUGAAAAUAGUCAGAGAAUGGCACCUUCAGCAAGGCAAAUUUUUAUGGAUCGAAGUGAGCCUUUUGCAGAGUUUCAAUCUCUGGAGGGGUAAAGUCCAACUUCUUAUUCACCAUCAAAGGCACAGAAUCUGGGUCAGCAGAAAAUGCACAUUUUUUUCCGCAAGGAGUGAGGUCAAGGAGCAGGUGUCAGGCUGGCAAAUUAAAAAGGAGGUCAGGAGGGGCUGAGACACACCAUCUGCCUCCUGGCUUGGGGCUGAGAAGGAGCUUCUGUUCAGAACCUGUGCAGGUCAAACAGCCCCCCCAUGCCUGCAUGGUCUUUGUUUCACCAAAUCUCUUUGCCAUUGACGGAGGGCAGUGGACCCAUCCUACCCACACAGGCCCCAUUCUGGGGGUGAUUCACGACUGCUGGACACACACAGAUGGACACAGAAGGAAAUUUCUGCUUCUUCCAUGAGUCUCGGGCAGCUGCGGAGACGGCAAUUUUUCAUAUGAGAAAACUGAGUCUCGGAGAAGUUCACACCUGUUCGUAAGCAUCAUAACCUGGUCUGCUUGACCUCAAAGUUUAACGCCUACACUCUACUCAGUGAAAAAGAUUCAUAGAGAAGCACAGCUUACAGGAAAGGAUUAUGUAAAGUGACUCAUUUGCCAUCAAUCAGACCAAAACAGCAAGAGAAAGAAAUACAUUUAAAAGCUCUCCAAAAUUUGUCAUUUGCUUGGGUUUAUCCUGAUUUACACAGGAAUUGAAACAAAGCUUAAAAGACUGUAUCCCCCAAAGAGGAAACCAUAGUUUGAUUAUCCAGGGAUCCCCCAGAAGCCAAGGACUGUUGUUCCAGGGGAGAAAUUUUCAGACUCCCAACUGUGUGUGUGUGGGUGUCAUAGCUGGGGAGAUGAAGGGGAGAGAGAGGCAGAGCAGGAGGAGAGAGUGUGGGACCCCCACGUGAUCUCCCUGAGGGGCUGACCCCAGACUCUCCCUAUCCGUCUCCUCCCAAGCUGCCCCGGGGCCCAGCUAAGUGUUUUAACUGUCGGCUCUGAAAAAGGCCAUUUCCCACCAAGACUAUAAAAUGGAAAAAUGGAGAGGCCGUAUGCACGGCAAAGAAUCAAAUGUGCAGAGCCUUCCACGGAAUUUAUAAAUCAGUUACCAGGAGCAUUAAAACGCCUCUUGCCGCACUUAAUCUCCGGCAUCCUUUCUUCUCUUCUUCCAAAUACCAAACACAUCGUUCUUUUUUACUGGCUCUGGUGGACUCUUCAAUGAAGUCUGUUCCUAUUUCAGAAUAAAUAUAUGUGUAUUCUCUUCUCUGACUCUGCUUGACUGCAAAACAAACAAUGAUGCAUGCUUAGGCCGAUUCUCCAGAUGAAUAGGAGAGCAAGCGGUUUUGCUUGUCUUGGUCUGGGCGCUUUCUGGGAGCAGGAAGCAUGGCUGGGCUGAGUACAGUGCUGCCUGCAGCACCCACAUAACUUAGGACACGUAGGCUGGAUGGAGUCAAAGCUGGUCUAGUAAAAGACAGGUGCACCGAACUGUACCCCAAGGUGUCCCUUAGAC